GAUGAAGAACGCAGCGAAAUGCGAUACGUAGUGUGAAUUGCAGAAUUCAGUGAAUCAUCGAAUCUUUGAACGCACAUUGCACCUCUCGGUAUUCCGGGAGGUAUGCCUGUUCGAGCGUCAUUUGUACCCUCAAGCUCUGCUUGGUGUUGGGUGUUUGUUCCGCCUCUGUGUGUGAACUCGCCUCAAAACAAUUGGCAGCCGGCAUACUUGUUUCGGAGCGCAGCACAUUUUGCGAUCCAGAUCAACGUACAGCGGCAUCCAAGAAGCCUUAUUUAACGCUCUUGACCUCGGAUCAGGUAGGGAUACCCGCUGAACUUAAGCAUAUCAAUAAGCGGAGGA
rnacentral:misc_RNA from 1 species